rnacentral:rRNA from 1 species
UACGUAGGGUGCGAGCGUUGUCCGGAAUUAUUGGGCGUAAAGAGCUCGUAGGCGGUUUGUCGCGUCUGCUGUGAAAACUCGGGGCUUAACCCCGGGCCUGCAGUGGGUACGGGCAGACUAGAGUGCGGUAGGGGAGACUGGAAUUCCUGGUGUAGCGGUGAAAUGCGCAGAUAUCAGGAGGAACACCGGUGGCGAAGGCGGUUCUCUGGGCCUGUACUGACGCUGAGGAACGAAAGCGUGGGGAGCGAACAGG